GGUCGUAUAGUGUAGCUGGUUAGCACAUCGGAUUCUGAUGACUUCGCAGUCAGUUUCACAUUCCGGUAACCCUGGUUCGAAUCCUGGUAUGACCU
rfam:Trichophyton benhamiae CBS 112371 contig01989.5, whole genome shotgun sequence.